rnacentral:rRNA from 1 species
AUUGAACGCUGGCGGCAUGCCUUACACAUGCAAGUCGAACGGUAACAGGUCUUCGGAUGCUGACGAGUGGCGAACGGGCGAGUAAUACAUCGGAACGUGCCUAGUAGUGGGGGAUAACUACUCGAAAGAGUGGUUAAUACCGCAUGAGAUCUACGGAUGAAAGCAGGGGAUCGCAAGACCUUGUGCUACUAGAGCGGCCGAUGGCAGAUUAGGUAGUUGGUGGGAUAAAAGCUUACCAAGCCGACGAUCUGUAGCUGGUCUGAGAGGACGAUCAGCCACACUGGGACUGGGACACGGCCCAGACUCCUACGGGAGGCAGCAGUGGGGAAUUUUGGACAAUGGGCGCAAGCCUGAUCCAGCAAUGCCGCGUGCAGGAUGAAGGCCUUCGGGUUGUAAACUGCUUUUGUACGGAACGAAAAGCCCUGGGUUAAUACCCUGGGGUCAUGACGGUACCGUAAGAAUAAGCACCGGCUAACUACGUGCCAGCCGCCGCGGUAACAC